UUGGGGCUUGGGGCACCCUGGGGCAGUGGAAGGUGUCCCUGCCAUGGCUGGGAUGGGAUGGGAUGGGCUUUGUGCUCCCUUCCUGCUCAAACUCUUCUGGGAUUCUAUCGAGCCUGAGUAGCGCCAGCUCUUACUGGGCUGGCUGCAGCCCAGCUGUGGGAUGAGCUGGGGGGAAGGCUGAGCUGUCCGAGGAGCCGGGUGUGCUCGGAGCAGCGCUGGCACUGCCUGCACAGCCGGCACCUGGAGCCUGGCUCUGCCCCAUCCCCAGCCUGGGCUGCUCCCGAGAGGCUCUGGCUGGCCUUGCCUGCCAUGUGGGUACCCCAACACCCCCAUGUUGCCCCCAGCGAUGGCUGAGGAGCUCAGUGAGCUGCUGAGAGAGUUCGACGAGGUCAUGGAGGACUUUGACCGGGGCCCUGCGAGUCAGUACCAGCAGCACCUGGAGGAGCUGAAGAGGAAAGCGGGACAGAGCGUGUAUGACAGUGGCAUCGAUGAGCUGGAGAGUGCCAGCACAUCCCCAGGAAGCAGCCUCAACUCCAGUGAGGAGCACCUCAACAGCCCAGCUGACACGUAUCCCACUAAAGCAAAGCUUGGAGACACGCAGGAGCUGGAGGAGUUCAUCGCAGACCUGGAUAAAGCCUUGGAAGAGAUGUGAGCUGUGCUGUGCGGUCUGGAGAGGAGCAGCCCCAGCCCUGAGUCUCCCUGAUGCUGCCUCUGCCCCCCUGGCUGGGGUGGGGAUGGCUCUGGGGACAGGGACGGGCGGUGGGGACGGAUCCGGCCGUGGGAUGAUGGUGACAAGGCCCUGCCAGCGCCAGGAGGGGACAGCCCUGGGCGGGACCUGGCCCUGCCCUGCACGGGGUCUGGUGGCUCCAAGGGCUCUGGGGGGGAGCUGGGCUGCUGCUGAAGCCCCCAGAGGAAUUUUGGGGAAGAUCAGCUUGCAGGACAUCAGCGUGACAUCAGUGUCCCCUCCAGGCUGGGAAGCCUGGUUCCUUGGUGGCAUCUGUCACUGCUGACCUUUGCUUUGCAUGGGGAGCCCCAAAUUGGACUCCUCUCUGCUCCCCAAGUGCCUUUGCCCCAGCUGCUGCUGUAAAUACUGUAAAAAUAUGUUUUGUGCUGUACAAAUGGUUCUGUGAACAGGAUUUUAAACCUCUG
rnacentral:lncRNA from 1 species